UACUAGGAUGGGUGACCUUCC
rnacentral:siRNA from 1 species